GGCGAGAUGGCCGAGUGGUCUAAGGCGCCAGACUAAGGCAAUUCCAAGUGCGAUAUCUGGUCCUCACGGGCGUGGGUUCGAAUCCCACUCUCGUCA